rnacentral:rRNA from 1 species
UACGGAGGGAGCAAGCGUUACUCGGAAUUAUUGGGCGUAAAGGGCGCGUAGGCGAUCUGAAAAGUUCUGUGUGAAAGCCCACAUGUUAACUGUGGAAGUGCACAGAAAACUGUUGGAUUUGAGUUCAGGAGAGGAAGGCAGAAUUCCCGGUGUAGCGGUGAAGUGCGUAGAGAUCGGGAGGAAUACCAGUGGCGAAGGCGGCCUUCUGGACUGACACUGACGCUGAGGCGCGAAAGCCAGGGGAGCAAACGGG